rnacentral:lncRNA from 1 species
UUUACCCAAAGGGUUAUUCUAUUUAAAGACAUUACUGCUGCAUCGCCUCUAUAUUUUACAAGAUAAUACUUCGCAUACAGGAUGUGCUCCUGAAACUCCCCAGAUGAAUGUUUGGCCUCCAACAAAGCCUUCGAGGGCUAAGCUGCAGGACUUCAACCGCCUUCAGAAUACCAAGCGUCGGCGUCUGCGGCUCCGCGUGCGUCCUCCGGGCGCCGUGGUUUCAUUUGGCGCGGCCCUCGUGUGGUAAUGCAUCAUCCAGGUCUCCGUCCGCACCGCGCGAACGCCCCGCGACCGUCCUGACCGGCGGCUCGCGCGUGGCCACCGACUCCCC